AGGUAAUGUAGUCUUUUUGUGGAAUUUUCAUAGAAGUUGUGUCUUUGCUAGCUUACUUCUAUAUUCUCAACCACACUGCAUGAGUGCAUAUGUUUUCAUGUAGAUUUGCAGGACCAUAAUUUAAGAUACAUUAUUAGUGUUAUCUAGUGAUUCGAUUCAAAUUCUAAUGUAAUUAUAAUGUGCCUAUAUAUAGUUCAUUAAAGAAUUUGUGUUUUCUUUUUCUUUGCUUACAAUAGUUUCUGAUUGGUUGAGCUUUUUAUUGUUAAUUGCUAGGGGGUCCAUGCACCCAUGCUCA
rnacentral:misc_RNA from 1 species